ensembl:lncRNA
GAGAGAGGGAGGGAGAGAGAGAGAGAGAGAGAGAGAGAGAGAAAGGCCCAUUUCAACAGUGUUUGCAGAAGUGGAGGACCAGAGAUGCCCAAGUCUCUUCGUCCUAAAUUCUGUUUUUAUUGAUGCAUACAGCUGUAAAAUGAGCUUAAAUUUUGUUUCUUAUUCUGACAUGGCUAAGGAAACUUAAUAAUACUUCUAUAUUAGACUUACUGUUAUCGCGUCUCAGCCUUUUGACUAAGAUCAAGUGUAGACUUAUUGUUCUUCAAAAUUAAUACUCAAGACAGCCAAAUCAGUGAAACAAGACCAGUAAGGUGAAGCUCCAUGGCUGUCGUUUAACCUUGGCCAUUUUUUCCCUGUCCAUUUAAAUGGCCUAGAACUCCCACUCUUAGAGUUGGUUUGGCCACAUGCUCAACACUCAUGAGGUUUUAGGCACCAUGCACUUUUGCUCAUUUGGACCCCUUCCUUAGAGAAUUUAAAAUUAUGUUUUAUAAUUGUGUUUUAUAACAUGACAGUAUUCACAUUUUAAUUAAAAUAUUCUUUUAAUUUAAAAAUUGGGUUAUUUUUCCUAAUAAAAUUAAGUAAAACGUUUGUUACACACCCUUUAAAAUUCUGAGUCUAGAUUGUGCCUGUGUUCUGAGAGGGUUGUUGGAGAAUGCAGACAGUGUUCUCCCUCCCUUACCACCACUCCGUUAUUUAUUGCCACUCCAGCCAGGGGUACUGCAGCUCCUACUAUCACAGGCCUGCACAUCUGAACUUCAUUCUUUCCCAUCCUAGCCAGAACUCAGUAUGGCUUAGAUCAUUCAUGGGAGGUGGGGAGUGCAGCAGCUAGAAAUCAGUAGAUAGGAAUUUUACUUUGGUUCCUACUUUUACAGCCUGUGUCUCACCUUCCCUUUUCUCUCAAACCCUCAUAUUCAUCCAUUCUCACAGCCCAUGAGUCUAAGAGCUUUCUGUCAUUUGCUGAAAGUACUUAAGCAGGCCCAUUCAGGACAUCCCGCAGUUGUUUAUGGUUUAGCAUUGGCCCGGGCGUCUCCACAGAAUGUUCCUCCUCAGGCUGGGGUAGGUGAGGUCUGUGACAUGCAGACUGUAAGCACAUGCAGUCGCUUCAUUUCUCAGGACAGAGAAAAUGGCAGCCUUGGCUUUCCAGUGAAAGCCAUCUACUGCCCUUAGUCUGCCUUCCCCGGGUGUGUUGCCGAGUCCUGGCGGAAGGAGCUGGAGAAGCCGAUAGAACCUGUAUGCGCUCUGCUCUGGCUCUGCUCUGUUGCUGCCCUUAGUCUGCCUUCCCCAGGUGUGUUGCUGCCCUUAGUCUGCCUUCCCCGGCUGUGUUGCUGAGUCCUGGCGGAAGGAGCUGGAGAAGCCGAUAGAACCUGUAUGCGCUCUGCUCUGGCUCUGCUCUGGUGCCAGCAGAAGGCACCCACACACACUCACAGUUUGCCAGCAGACAUCCCAUGUGGGUUUCUUCUCAUCAGUAGGGGAAGUGGCCACCCAAAUUUCCCUUGUUCUUCUUUACCAGCCAGGCACUCAGUCUGGUGUCACGUGACGCGGCCGCUUCUCAGAAGUCUGAGAAAAGCACACACAUUGUGAUGAACAUGUACUCUAUCAGCAUUAUCAAACUUAACAAAGAAACUUCAUCUCUAGAACUGCAUCUCAAGCUUCCUGUUUGUUAAUAUGCUCUUAUAACAAUAUAUUUUGUAAUGUAUCCAGAGAAAUCAGAAUAGUGUGAUAUCCUUAUUUCCUGACCUUUUCUGAAAAAGUUUUAUGCAUGCUUUCAUUUCCUAUAACUUUGCUUCUGGUAUCUCUUUUACCUUAUUAUUACCCCACCAAAUCAGAAGGAAAUAAAAGCAUCCAAGAGGAACUUAAAAGGUUCUAAAUGAAACUAAACUUUAAACCUGAAAUUAAUUCACAGCAUCCAGGUAACUUAUUUUUGUCCUUUGCUGAUUCUGUCAUAUAUUCAUGUGACUUCCUGGGGAAAUGCCUGGUUUGUUGUCUCGGAGGAUCCUAGUAGCUUUUGAAGAAUUUGUUAAAUACUUUCUCACAGUUCAUAUUUCCUGUUUUAUAUAAUAUCAUAAAAUUGAGACCUGAGUGGUGGUGCACACCUUUAAUCCCAGAACUCAGAAGCAGAGGCAGGAGGAUCUCUACAGUUUGAGGUUAGCCUGGAACAAGACUGCUUAGUAAGACCCUAUCUUAAAAAUCAACAAAAUGUCUGUUUCAGCAUGAGUUCUAAAAUUGUAAUUAGAUUUUAUUUAGCCUGAUUUAUGUAAAUAAGUCUUUUAUAUUGCCUUUAAAUGUAUAGAUUGGAGUUAACUUGCACAGUUGUAUUGUAUAUAAGAUAUUGCAUGACCAUUAAUGAACUUGUUGCUGUUUUCCCACAAUGUUAACAGUUUUGUGAAUUUUUCACUAUGCAUUUACAGUGUUCUAUAACAAUGACUUAAAACUAUUUUAUACAUUUAAACAUUACGUUAUAUUGUAUAUAUCUACUUAAAGAGUAUUGUAAAUGUCAGUGUUUAUAAAAUUAUGACUUUCCCCAAAAUAUAAACUCAUCUUUCCAAACUAACUUGUGACAUAUUACAAAUACCGAUUUUAAGCUUUGACAUAUUAUCUUGUAGUGAAAGCUAAGAAGAAACAUGCUGUCAAGUAAAUGUAAGCAAAAUUUGAAAAUAAAUUUGAUGUCUUUGUAAGUUAUUAGCAAUAUGUUCUUGGAUUACAAAAGGAAGGCACUAUCUUAGUUACCUUUCUAUUGCUGUAACAAAACUCUGUGACCAGAGCAACUUAGAAAAGAGAGCAUUUAGUUUGGGGUUCCCACUUGGGUCCAGAGGGUCCAUGAUCAUGUAUGGAGUAUGGCAGCAAGCAGCUAAGCGUGGCAUUAGAGCAGUAGCUGGGAGCUUAGAUACCCUAUCCCAAGCAGAAAGCAGGGAAAGAGUAUGGCAUAAACUGUAGAGUCUACUCUUCUGUGGCACCUCCUCCAACAAGGUCCUACCUUCUAGUCACUCCCAAACAGUUCCACCAGCGGAGACCAAGGUUUCAAGUGAAUUAGCCUGCAGGGCCUUUCCAGAACGUUCAUACACCACAGCCACAUUAAUUCAGCCAGGGUUUGUUGAACAUCGCUUACACUGCUCACAGUCAGGGACACAAAGUAAACCAUAUCUUCUUUCUACAAGAAUCUGAUUAGUGAGAAAUAAUGACACAAGCUGAAGUUGGUUAUAAAAUAGACAAGUGUUAGGCAGAGAAUGGUGGUGAGAAGGCUCUAGACUCGAAGCUGUGAAGUCGGUGCCUUUAAAAGAAAUAUCUGGCAGAAUUUGAUUACGUGAUGUUUAGGGGAUGUUGGAAGUGGCCUUAGUGUAAGUGAAUGUUAGGAAAACUAUUUAUGUUGUAGGGCAUAUGAAAAUGAUAAUUGUGAAAGCAGCACACAGCCCGCCCACUAAAUUUAAGUUACAGAAAAUAUAAAGUACAGGCCAAUGAGGUAAAGGCAUCUGCUGAUGAUCCGAGAGGAAAGAGAACCAAUUCAUGCUGUUGCCCUCUGACCUCCAUGCACCAUGUCAAGUGCUGAUACACGCACACAAAACACUUUUUUUUUUUCAAAUACAUAGAAAGCAAAACUCUCACCUCAAAAAUUUCAGGGUAAAUAUUGGUUUAACUGAUUUUGAACUUUCCAG